rnacentral:tRNA from 1 species
GCCAGCGUGGCAUAGUGGUCUGAGUGUUGGACUACAAUUCUAGAAACCAGGAUUCAAUUCCCAGCUCAGCA